rnacentral:rRNA from 1 species
UACGUAGGGGGCUAGCGUUGUCCGGAAUCAUUGGGCGUAAAGAGCGUGUAGGCGGCCCGGUAAGUCCGCUGUGAAAGUCGGGGGGCUCAACCCUCGAAUGCCGGUGGAUACUGUCGGGCUAGAGUGCGGAAGAGGCGAGUGGAAUUCCUGGUGUAGCGGUGAAAUGCGCAGAGUAUCGGGAGGAACACCGAUGGCGAAGGCAGCACUCUGGGCCGGUACUGACGCUGAGGAGCGAAAGCGUGGGGAGCGAACAGG